rnacentral:rRNA from 1 species
GAUGAACGCUGGCGGCGUGCCUAAUACAUGCAAGUCGAGCGAACAGACGAGGAGCUUGCUCCUCUGACGUUAGCGGCGGACGGGUGAGUAACACGUGGAUAACCUACCUAUAAGACUGGGAUAACUUCGGGAAACCGGAGCUAAUACCGGAUAAUAUAUUGAACCGCAUGGUUCAAUAGUGAAAGACGGUUUUGCUGUCACUUAUAGAUGGAUCCGCGCCGCAUUAGCUAGUUGGUAAGGUAACGGCUUACCAAGGCGACGAUGCAUAGCCGACCUGAGAGGGUGAUCGGCCACACUGGAACUGAGACACGGUCCAGACUCCUACGGGAGGCAGCAGUAGGGAAUCUUCCGCAAUGGGCGAAAGCCUGACGGAGCAACGCCGCGUGAGUGAUGAAGGUCUUCGGAUCGUAAAACUCUGUUAUUAGGGAAGAACAAAUGUGUAAGUAACUGUGCACAUCUUGACGGUACCUAAUCAGAAAGCCACGGCUAACUACGUG